AUUGAACGCUGGCGGCAGGCCUAACACAUGCAAGUCGAGCGAGAGGCGGACGGGGGAGUAAUGUCUGGGAAACUGCCUGCUGGAGGGGGAUAACACCUGGAGACGGUAGCUCAUACCGCAUACCAUCAGAUGUGCCCAGAUGGGGUUAGCUAGUAGGUGGGGGAACGGCUCACCUAGGCGACGAUCCCUAGCUGGUCUGAGAGGAUGACCAGCCACACUGGAACUGAGACACGGUCCAGACUCCUACGGGAGGCAGCAGUGGGGAAUAUUGCACAAUGGGCGCAAGCCUGAUGCAGCCAUGCCGCGUGUGUGAAGAAGGCCUUCGGGUUGUAAAGCACUUUCAGCGGGGAGGCGUUACCCGCAGAAGAAGCACCGGCUAACUCCGUGCCAGCAGCCGCGGUAAUAC
rnacentral:rRNA from 1 species